rnacentral:rRNA from 1 species
AACCGAGAUUCCCCCAGUAGCGGCGAGCGAACGGGGAGCAGCCCAGAGCCUGAAUCAGUGUGUGUGUUAGUGGAAGCGUCUGGAAAGGCGCGCGAUACAGGGUGACAGCCCCGUACACAAAAAUGCACAUGCUGUGAGCUCGAUGAGUAGGGCGGGACACGUGGUAUCCUGUCUGAAUAUGGGGGGACCAUCCUCCAAGGCUAAAUACUCCUGACUGACCGAUAGUGAACCAGUACCGUGAGGGAAAGGCGAAAAGAACCCCGGCGAGGGGAGUGAAAAAGAACCUGAAACCGUGUACGUACAAGCAGUGGGAGCACGCUUAGGCGUGUGACUGCGUACCUUUUGUAUAAUGGGUCAGCGACUUAUAUUCUGUAGCAAGGUUAACCGAAUAGGGGAGCCGAAGGGAAACCGAGUCUUAACUGGGCGUUAAGUUGCAGGGUAUAGACCCGAAACCCGGUGAUCUAGCCAUGGGCAGGUUGAAGGUUGGGUAACACUAACUGGAGGACCGAACCGACUAAUGUUGAAAAAUUAGCGGAUGACUUGUGGCUGGGGGUGAAAGGCCAAUCAAACCGGGAGAUAGCUGGUUCUCCCCGAAAGCUAUUUAGGUAGCGCCUCGUGAAUUCAUCUCCGGGGGUAGAGCACUGUUUCGGCAAGGGGGUCAUCCCGACUUACCAACCCGAUGCAAACUGCGAAUACCGGAGAAUGUUAUCACGGGAGACACACGGCGGGUGCUAACGUCCGUCGUGAAGAGGGAAACAACCCAGACCGCCAGCUAAGGUCCCAAAGUCAUGGUUAAGUGGGAAACGAUGUGGGAAGGCCCAGACAGCCAGGAUGUUGGCUUAGAAGCAGCCAUCAUUUAAAGAAAGCGUAAUAGCUCACUGGUCGAGUCGGCCUGCGCGGAAGAUGUAACGGGGCUAAACCAUGCACCGAAGCUGCGGCAGCGACGCUUAUGCGUUGUUGGGUAGGGGAGCGUUCUGUAAGCCUGCGAAGGUGUGCUGUGAGGCAUGCUGGAGGUAUCAGAAGUGCGAAUGCUGACAUAAGUAACGAUAAAGCGGGUGAAAAGCCCGCUCGCCGGAAGACCAAGGGUUCCUGUCCAACGUUAAUCGGGGCAGGGUGAGUCGACCCCUAAGGCGAGGCCGAAAGGCGUAGUCGAUGGGAAACAGGUUAAUAUUCCUGUACUUGGUGUUACUGCGAAGGGGGGACGGAGAAGGCUAUGUUGGCCGGGCGACGGUUGUCCCGGUUUAAGCGUGUAGGCUGGUUUUCCAGGCAAAUCCGGAAAACUAAGGCUGAGGCGUGAUGACGAGGCACUACGGUGCUGAAGCAACAAAUGCCCUGCUUCCAGGAAAAGCCUCUAAGCAUCAGGUAACAUCAAAUCGUACCCCAAACCGACACAGGUGGUCAGGUAGAGAAUACCAAGGCGCUUGAGAGAACUCGGGUGAAGGAACUAGGCAAAAUGGUGCCGUAACUUCGGGAGAAGG